rnacentral:rRNA from 1 species
AGUGAACGCUGGCGGUAGGCCUAACACAUGCAAGUUGAACGGCAGCACAGGAGAGCUUGCUCUCUGGGUGGCGAGUGGCGGACGGGUGAGGAAUACAUCGGAAUCUACUCUGUCGUGGGGGAUAACGUAGGGAAACUUACGCUAAUACCGCAUACGACCUACGGGUGAAAGCAGGGGACCUUCGGGCCUUGCGCGAUGGAAUGAGCCGAUGUCGGAUUAGCUAGUUGGCGGGGUAAAGGCCCACCAAGGCGACGAUCCGUAGCUGGUCUGAGAGGAUGAUCAGCCACACUGGAACUGAGACACGGUCCAGACUCCUACGGGAGGCAGCAGUGGGGAAUAUUGGACAAUGGGCGCAAGCCUGAUUCAGCCAUACCGCGUGGGUGAAGAAGGCCUUCGGGUUGUAAAGCCCUUUUGUUGGGAAAGAAAUCCAGCUGGCUAAUACCCGGUUGGGAUGACGGUACCCAAAGAAUAAGCACCGGCUAACUUCGUGCAGCCGCCGCCGUAA